rnacentral:rRNA from 1 species
GAUUAAGUUAUUAAGGGCGCACGGUGGAUGCCUUGGCACUAGAAGCCGAUGAAGGACGUUACUAACGACGAUAUGCUUUGGGUAGCUGUAAGUAAGCGUUGAUCCAGAGAUUUCCGAAUGAGGGAACCCAGCAUGAGUUAUGUCAUGUUAUCGACAUGUGAAUUCAUAGCAUGUCAGAAGGCAGACCCGGAGAACUGAAACAUCUUAGUACCCGGAGGAAGAGAAAGAAAAAUCGAUUCUCUGAGUAGCGGC